rnacentral:rRNA from 1 species
UACGGAGGGGGCUAGCGUUGUUCGGAAUUACUGGGCGUAAAGCGCACGUAGGCGGCUUUGUAAGUUAGAGGUGAAAGCCCGGGGCUCAACUCCGGAAUUGCCUUUAAGACUGCAUCGCUAGAAUUGUGGAGAGGUAAGUGGAAUUCCGAGUGUAGAGGUGAAAUUCGUAGAUAUUCGGAAGAAACACCAGUGGCGAAGGCGACUUACUGGACACAUAUUGACGCUGAGGUGCGAAAAGCGUGGGGAGCAAACAGGGAUUAGAAA